UGCUUUAAUAAUCAGCCUAGUGCGCGAACAACCUUGUUUUUCUCGGUGCUGAGUGUUGAAAAGGAAGCCUGUCGCGGCCUCGCCAAAGACAUUUUCGUCUGGUUGGGAACCGGAACCUGCAUUUUCGGGGCUUCCCCUGAGUUUUGCGCUUUAUUUUCUCACAGAAACUUGAGCGAGGCAAUUUUUGGGAAAGAAGCCUUUUUCUGAGCGGUCUGAGGUGGGGAAUCGGAGCGAUUCCCAGCCUCAGAGAAAGGGGAGCCGAUUUUACAGAUUCGGGCUCGUUUCUGGCGCGAGGCAGCGAAGGCUCAGAGCAAGGGGAACGCAGCGGCAGCGAUGGAACGACAGGACGGUGUUGGGCACGCCCUGGUGGGUGAGUCGGAGCGCGGCCACCACCGGGGCCGAGGACGCGGGAGCUGAGCGCCCCGGUAGAUGCUCUGGGGCUUUCACAGUGUCUGUCAACGAUACAGCGUUGAAGUGAGGGAGAAAGUAUUGAAUAUCUGAAAGGAACUCACCUUGACUAUAUGGUUAGAAAGAAGAGUUGGUGAGUACAAGCAAGCAUUUGAGGACAUUUAGCAGGUCAGACCUUUUCAUUUUUCUUUAGUAAGAAUUUUAUACACUAAGUGGAAUUUGCCCAGAUUUCAUUUACAUCAUGAAGGCUUACUUUGUAAGACUGUCAGGGCCAUGCAAAUGGAGGUCAACUUCAUUUCCUUACUUAAAAUUUUUAUAUUUUGUUCCUCGUGCAUAUUUUGGUAUUAAUUUACAUUUUAAAAUAUUGCAUUAAAACAUCUUUUAUCUUGAUGACUUAGAUUUGGUGCCUUCUUACCAUUCGUGCUGAAGACAAGUACUAGCUUAACGCUGCCCUAGUGCUAACCCAGGAUAUAGCUUUUGAAUUAGGGUAUUCUGCUGUUCCAUGGCUGAACAUGUAGGAAUGCUUUAAUUCUCAUCACUCUCUCCCCCAUAUAUAUAUUUCUAACCAUUGUCCUGGUCUCUACAACAUUAUUUUAAUGUCUUUUUUUUUUAAGGAAAAAAAAACCCUCUUGACUGCCUUCAUCUGAUUUUCUCAACUCACACCCCCUUGGCUAUGCGUAAUAAACAAAAGAAGCAUUGAAGUUACGACAUUAUCUGUUGCUGAUAAAUUGAAGAGAAAUUGGAAAAACUUGGAAACCACAUCGGCGUAAGUACAGAAUUGACAACCUUGUACUAUUUAAGAAUCACUUUUGUAGGCAGGUACUCAGAGCAGCUGGAUCCAGGCUCCCACAGCCAGACACCUGAAUCACCAGGCUCACCGGGGCCUGCCCCCUCCUCACUGGUGUCACCCAGGAUGAUGUUCUCCAGCCCUAUCUGCACCCUUAGCUGUGACAUGGCCCAGAACCACAGUCUGCCAAAGCAGGAGACCCUCACAGUCCUGCCCCUAACAGGGAGAAUCUUCUUUGUUUUCCUGCCUGAAGGACAAGAAGGUUUUCAGGUUCCAUCAGCACCAGCUGGCUGACAGCCAGUUCCAAAACGCUCAGGCUGCCUCAUUCUCCGUGAAACAAUACAGCACUUCUCCAUCAUCUUCAGCACAAACAGCUGAAAUUCCUCACUGGGCUAGAUCAACAGUGGGAAGAUCUGGAGACUAGUUUGGUGCAGGAGAUGAGGAGGAAAAGACCCUCCUGGUCAAUGAGGACUCCAGCCUGACUUUGAAGAACUCCUUGCAAAGGACCAGGCUCGAUCUGAAAAGAAAGUCCACAGCUGCUGUGCCCAGGACAAUAUGAGAGUGGAAGUUAAGGCAUGAAAAUCAGAGUGUGCUUUCCCUGUAUGUUCAACCUCAGAGAACCCAGGAGUGGGAAAAGGAGACCUGGACCCAAUCUUCUACAAUGGAGUCUUCUCUGCUUAGAGGUGGCCUUGAGCGCAUCAAUAUUCACUCAGUUCAAUGGCUUUUCUUCUGAUUCAGUUGUAAAUGCAUCGAGUCAUCUCAGCACAUUGUUUUUCAACAGUAAGUGGAAACAAUACUUUUGAAUGCAGAGAAAAUUUAUUUUUAAUUUGUAAUAAUUAGAAUUUAUUUCUCUAUGAUGAUUGUUAUAUUUACCAAAUUUAUUCUUCAUAUUAUGAUAUGAUCAGCUUGGUGUCUUGUUUUCCUUUGCUUUGGGGGUGCAAAAAGUAUAUUUUAAGUGUUAGUUUUCACUCAUACUCUUAAAGAAAAUCAGUGUCCUUAAACCUUUAAUCUGCCUUAAAA